rnacentral:rRNA from 1 species
UACGUAGGGCGCAAGCGUUAUCCGGAAUUAUUGGGCGUAAAGGGCGCGUAGGCGGCUUUGCAAGUGGCGGGUGAAAUCCCUCGGCUUAACCGAGGAACUGCCUGCCAGACUGUGAGGCUUGAGACCGGGAGAGGUGAGUGGAAUUCCCAGUGUAGCGGUGAAAUUCGUAGAUAUUCGGAAGAACACCAGUGGCGAAGGCGACUUACUGGACACAUAUUGACGCUGAGGUGCGAAAGCGUGGGGAGCAAACAGG